rnacentral:rRNA from 1 species
UACGUAGGGUGCAAGCGUUAAUCGGAAUUACUGGGCGUAAAGCGUGCGCAGGCGGUUGAUGUAAGACAGGUGUGAAAUCCCCGGGCUUAACCUGGGAACUGCAUUUGUGACUGCAUCGCUGGAGUGCGGCAGAGGGGGAUGGAAUUCCGCGUGUAGCAGUGAAAUGCGUAGAUAUGCGGAGGAACACCGAUGGCGAAGGCAAUCCCCUGGGCCUGCACUGACGCUCAUGCACGAAAGCGUGGGGAGCAAACAGG